UCCCUCACACAUAAAAAAAAAAGCGACUACCCAAAUGAGAAAAACACUGAAAUACACACUAUAAAUCUAUCACUAGAAACCAAAUCCUGCGAAAAUAGUCAGAACAAGGACCAUCGACUUGCCAAGAACACCAAUGGAAGGAAUAGCAGCACUGUUUUUGGGAGAUGCAGGUGUAUUUGCUGGUGCGCUUGAAGGUGAUGCAGCAGGUGAUGUAGCUGAUGAGGCAGUUGUCAAACGAGCAACCCGGAUAUCAACUUUCUGACCUUGCUGGCAAUGAUCAGGAAAGCCACAGAGGCCUGGUACUGAGGGUGAGUUACUUGCAUCACAUUGUGGUACUGAGUCUUGUAUGUGAACACUACAUGUUAUGAACAAACCAGAAGCAACUUCAGUAAAACGUAAGCAAAGAGUAGGGACAUACAACAGCUGGAGAAGACGAUUAAUGUAUUUGUUAGACUACUUAUCCAAAUCUAUCACAUUCAAUGAUGUCUACAUUAUUCAUCCAGCGCCGAAGUAUAGUCCAGUCAAGUGUUCUAAAAACCAAAUAUCACAUACAUGUGAGAGAGAGACAAAGUUUUCUCCACUUGUAGAAUGGCGUUCAUAUUAGGGCAAGUACAUAGGGUGUGGGGCCGCGAAGCACGUUCUUGUUUGGCCAUGGAGAAAUAAGACAUGAUAUCCCACUAAAGUUUGAGGACCAUAUCCAUUCAGGGUUCAUUCAAGUGGGUGGACACCAUUUCCAUUACCACAACAAAAUAUUGAGGAAACAGUGACUAAACUAAACAGUAUACGCACAAGGAAAACAACAGCAUGAGCAUAAAACAAAUUAGAAAAAGUGAAUAGGAUGCCGACAGUGUAAGCAUGUUUGUAACUUGAGCAUGAGAAGCAUUGAAUCCAUCAUUACUUUUCAUUAGUAUAUGUUUUCUUUUUACCGAUUAGUUAAAUCUAAGAAUGAAGUAAAAUACAGUGAUAGAGAAUAUAUUAAUCAUGUUGUUAUGAAAA